UCCUGAACAAAUGUUUUGAUCAGAUGAAUUUGCAAGAUGAUUCAACAUAGCCUCCUACAAACAUCUGAAGACAGUGGGAGCGGUGGAGAAAGAGGAGGGAAAAAACCAGUGUUCGUACUGAAGGAAUGGAGACAGUUGUGAUGCUAUUUGAGAAGAUAUGGGUCCAGCUCAGGUGUAAUCCUAAGCAAUAGUUUUGAGCUACAGAAAAGAGUCUGUACAUGCUUUCUCGAUACUUACCUCCUCACAUCCUCUAUGCAUGGUGCCAGACUCUCCUUUAUUCCAGUGCAAAGCAGCCCUGAAAAUGCAGAUCUUAUCAAUGGCAAUCCACCACAAACACCAAUGCUCUUUUUUUGGCCAGAGCUGUUUUCAUUCAAGUUAUUGUUUCAGGACCGCAUCCAGAUUUUU